GCCUAACAUCUAGCCCACACUACCCUCAUGAACCUUUUCUACACCCUCCCGUACACAACAAAACAUUUUAUCUCUUUAGUACAGGCGAUCGAAAAACUUAUAGGCGCUUCAGAUUAAGUACCGCAAGGGAAAGAUGAAAUAAAAAUGAAAUAAUUUUAAAGCCCCAAAUAGCAGAGAUAUACCCUCGUACCUUUUGCAUCAUGGUCUAGCCAGUUUAACCAAGCAAAAUGUGAACUUUAGUUUGACACCCCGAAACUAAGUGAGCUACUUCGAAACAGCCCUAAGGGGCCAACCCGUCUCUGUUGCAAAAGAGUGGGAAGAUUUUCAAGUAGAGGUGACAAGCCUACCGAACUUAGAGAUAGCUGGUUAUUCAGGAGAAGAGUCUUAGCUCUGCCUUAAGUUUUCUUAUUAACUCAAACAAAUCUUUAAACUUAAGAGUUAUUCAAGUAAGGUUCAGCUUACUUGAAACAGGAUACAACCUCCAAUAUUGGGUAAAUAAGGGGAACCUAGAUAAAGUGGGCCUAAAAGCAGCCACCUUAUAAAAAGCGUUAAAGCUUAAUCACCAAUUCACCCAUAAUUCCUUGAUUCCUUAUUAACCCCUCAUCCCUACUGAAUCAUUUUAUACUAUUAUAAAAAUUAUUAUGCUAGAAACUAGUAACAAGAAACUGCUUUUCUCCUGAAUGUCAGCCAGAACCGAAAUUAACCCUAUCGGUAUUAAACGUAUAUGCUCUAACUAUAGUAACCCGCAACUAGAAAACCCUAUUAUUUUCAACGUCAACCUUACACUAGAACAUUACAGGAAAGAUUAAAAGAAAGAGAA
rnacentral:rRNA from 1 species